UAUUGUCGGUAUGGCAUAACAAAUCAACAUUAGCUAUGAAUAGCUAUUGACCGACUUAUAAACAACAAACAAACAAAAAAUACAUAAGUUAGAUCUAUUACUGAUUUUUCAAAUUUAUUAUUUCCCGCCCCCAUUACUUUAGAAUUCUUUUGUAUUUACCACCCUACAACCAGGAAGAGUCCAUUAUUCUAAAAAUAAACAAUACCGCGCAUGUCGGUCAAGGUCGUUUCAUAUCCAUACAGCACGUUGGCCAUUUUGUUGGUUAUUUUAGCAGUGACAACGUGAUACCGUAAGAGAAAAGGUGCAACAAGAAAAUGGACAGUGAAGUCACUAGAGACGGUCGUCUAAUGGAUCUCAUUGAUGAAAAAUGGCGGGAAGACCAGCUUCCGGAAGAAGACAUUGCUGUUCCGCAGAUGGAAUUACCAUGAAAUCGAACAGUUGGAGAACGGACCAACUACAGAGACCUUGAAAGAACAAGAACAGAAGUGGACAGAUUUAGGUCUCUCGUCGCUACAUGACCAGCCACCUCCUAGUAGCAGUUCAUAAAAUAAAAGUGGUCUUGCAAGUUAUGACCUUGGUAUAAUUGAAUAUCCCAGUUAAAGAUGAUGGCAAAGAAAAUUCAAAUUAUCAAGUGGUUUAUGAAUAUUUAAGUGAAGUAAGGUGGAUUUCGUCAUCUGUUCAUUCCUGGAAUUGACUGCUGGUGUUUUAGAAAUCUGCACAAGUGUGCUCAGAUCAGUGUUUUUUGGGGGUUGACUUGUGGACUACUUACAGAGGAACUUUUCAUGUAUCUAGGAAAUUAGCUCUUUAUAUUUAAGUUACAUUUAGCUGGUUUUCAAAAGAUACUUUUUGAAUAAGUUGUAUUUUUCCUGUAUUAUUGAAAUUAUAUUUAGAAGGUUUUCAAAAGAUGAUUUUUGAAUAUGUUUAUUUACCUGUAUGAGUUUUAAGCUCACCUGAGCACACAAUGCUAUGGUGAGCUAUUGUGAUAAUUCAUCAUACGUUGUCUGCCCAUCCCUCCACACUUUACUUAAAGUAUCAACUCCUCUAAAACUACUGGUCAGAAUGGCACCAAACUUGGUCAGUAGCAUCCCAUCAUGGUCCUCUAACAAAUUUGUUCAAAUCUUUUAGCUUGAUCCCUUUUAGGGGCCGCCAGAGAUAAACAUGGUAAAACCUUUAAAUGACUUCUUGUUCACCCCUUAAUGUCUGUAGCAUCACUGUAAGGUCCUUUCCCAAAUUUGUUCAAAAGGAAGAGCUCGACCCCUUUUAGGAGCCACUAGAGCUAAAAUUAGAAAUACCUUUAAAGGACUUGUUUUCAUAAUUUGUCUUAGCAUCAUUAAAAGGUUCUUUCCAAUCUUUAUUCAAAUAGGGGCACUUGCCUUUUUUUUAAUGGGCCGCCAGAUCAAAAGAUAGAAAUACCUUUAAACAACAUCUGAUCAUGAACAACUUGAUGGAUCUUCACAAAACUUGGUUUGUAGACUGCCUCCGUAGCCUAUUGGUACAGCGUCGGCUUAGAGUGCAGGAGGUUGUGGGUUGGAUUCCUGGCCGCAUCAUACCAAAGACGUAAAAAAUGGUACUAGUAGGUUCCUUACUUGGCGCUCAGCAUUAAGAGGAUAGUACUAGGACUGGUCAGCCCGGUGUCAGUAUAAUGUGACUGUAUGGGGUAUCAUGUCAAGUGUUUGCAGCAUAAUAUUCUACUGAGGCUGCACUAUAAAGUAAGGCAUUGUGCUUGCUGCUACAAGUAGACACUGUUAUUUAUAUGGCUGAAAAUUUGUUGCAAAAAGCAGUUAAAUCCAAACACACACACACACUUGGUCUGUAGAAUCAUUGUAGGAUCCUCUUCCCAACAUGUUCAAAUGGGGGCACUAGUCUGUUUUUAGGGGCCACUAAGCAAAUUAUAGAAAUACCUUUAAACAAAUUCUUCUCAUAAAGGCUCCCUGGCUGCAAGGUUAUUUUUUAUAUAAAUACUGCAAACAUUUUAUAAGAAAAUUUUAAGUCUCUCAAGAUUGCACAUAUCUGACUGCUGAACCAUCCUCUUUGGAGCCAGGGGCAAUAAAAAUGUCAUUGUAGAAACAACCUGCUGGAGUUACUUCCCUCUUAAUGAAUAAACUGAUAUAUAUGGAAAGUGUAUUAUAUUGACAAUAAUUGUUAUAGUCUCAUGCUUGUAAUAUGCCGUGACUAAAUAAAUAAACUUGAAACUUAAAUAAGAACAAACAUGGGGAUGGGAGCCAGUCUAGAAUCCUUGGAUGCAGAUAACCAAUAUAGAGAUACCUUCCUAAAACACCCUCAGCUUGCUCCAGCGGGCUGUGUGUGUCUCCCCCCCCCCCCCCCCCCCCCCCCCCACAAUUUUAAAGACCUAAGAAGCAUGUAGUGUUUUAACUGUUUGUCUUCUGUCACACUUAUUUAUGUAAUCAACUGUGGAACUUUUGACACCUGGAGCAUAUUAUGGUCCACUUCCAAAGAUGCACACUCUCUUGCCUGUAUAGGCUCUGAAUCUCAGGUGAGCGAUCUAGAGCCAUCAUGACCCUCUUGAUAGAAAUAAACAGCAGUUAUUUUACAUCAAAACAUGAUUUUUAGACUGGACAAGUAUACAUCAUAGUGAAAUUGUUCAUGCUCUUUGGAACAGGACUAGUGUAUAUUACGCUUUCUUUAAUUUUGUUAAAAUGAUCAAGAAAUGGAGUUUGUUUGUCAUGCCAGACAUUUGCAAUAAUUGCUGUUUGAUGUCUUACUAUACUAUGCAUCAUUCUAAAGGACUUGUAGGGUAUUAACAGGAUUUUGUUUGUUAAUUAGCCCGACUAUUCAAAGAAUAGGUAGAGGUAUUGGGCUCACCCACGCGUCCGCAUCGACAUCCCAUUUUGGUUAAGUUUUUGUAUAUAAACUGGUAUCUCAGUAACCACUGAUGGGAAUGGAUUGAAACAUCACACACUUAUUUACAGUGAUAAACUGACCUACAUUGCACAGGUGCAUUUCUCUAUCUUGCAAUAUUACAAAAUAUGCCCCUUUUUGGACUUUGCAGUUUUUGAUUAAGUUUUUGAAUGUGAGCUGGUAUCUCAGUAUCCACUGAUGGGAAUGGAUUGAAACUUUACACACUUGUCCACUGUCAUGAGCCGAUAUGCAUUGUACAGGUUCCAUAACCCUGUUUUGCAAUUUUACAAAACUAUGCCCCUUUAUCGACUUCGUUAACACGUGUUAAAACAUUUACAAAAACAAAUUGUCAAAGAAGAAUAUAUCUGUAAAAACAUAUUUCUCUUGUGAUAAAAUUUAAACAGUAUAAGUUAAUAAUAACAUCAAAAUUCAGAAGAUCUUACUAUCACCCAAGGUGGAUUGUAUGCCAACCUGAGGUCAUGGUCAGAACUGAGUCAAGUAGAUUUUGUGGCUAAUUCAUAUCUUUUAAAGCCCUGAAACAUUGGGUGAAUGUUCCAGCCAUCUUGAACCCAUGUGCCUAUUGCACCUGAUCAAGACCAAAUGUUUGAUCUAUGAAUUUUAUGACCUGUUCAUAUCUUGAAAACCCUUUAUGAAUCUUUGGUUGAAUUUUCAUAUUAUUAAGGCAAUGUACAAAAAGCCUUGUUUCAGUUGCAUGACACCAUUCUUUUGCAAACACAUUCAUUUUAUGAAAAUAGUAGGAUGUCAGAUCAUCAAGGCAAGGUCUGAAUGUUUUGUCAUAACUGAAGGUCAGACAUUAUUACACCAUUUAGUUUUAAUAGUGUACUUUGUAAUGCAGGUGCAUCUGCAAUUAAAAGUUAUGUGUU
rnacentral:lncRNA from 1 species